rnacentral:tRNA from 1 species
GGUAGAAUGGCUGAGUGAUAGGCGAUAGAUUGUAAAUCUAUAUACGAAAGUUUUUUUUUUUGCCA